rnacentral:rRNA from 1 species
AUUGAACGCUGGCGGCAUGCCUUACACAUGCAAGUCGAACGGCAGCACGGGAGCAAUCCUGGUGGCGAGUGGCGAACGGGUGAGUAAAGUAUCGGAACGUGCCCAGUCGUGGGGGAUAACGUAGCGAAAGCUACGCUAAUACCGCAUACGAUCUAUGGAUGAAAGCGGGGGACCGUAAGGCCUCGCGCGAUUGGAGCGGCCGAUAUCAGAUUAGGUAGUUGGUGGGGUAAAGGCCUACCAAGCCGACGAUCUGUAGCUGGUCUGAGAGGACGACCAGCCACACUGGGACUGAGACACGGCCCAGACUCCUACGGGAGGCAGCAGUGGGGAAUUUUGGACAAUGGGCGCAAGCCUGUUCCAGCAAUGCCGCGUGCAGGAUGAAGGCCUUCGGGUUGUAAACUGCUUUUGUACGGAGCGAAAAGGCUUCCACUAAUACUGGGAGCUCAUGACGGUACCGUAAGAAUAAGCACCGGCUAACUACGUGCCAGCAGCCGCGGUAACAC